AGUCCAUGGUGUGGGCACUUCUUUAGCAUUUCUUAAAUCAUUCCUACGCCUCGUAUAUUGAUUCACCUUUAUAUUGUUUAAAUUUGACGAUUUCUUGCGUGAGCU
rfam:Gossypium arboreum cultivar AKA8401 contig_14065_5, whole genome shotgun sequence.